rnacentral:misc_RNA from 1 species
AAGGAGUCUAACAUAUAUGCGAGCAUUAGGGUGGCAAACUCUAGUGCGCAAUGAAAGUGAUAGGUGGGACUCUAGUGCGUGAGCAUUGGAAGCACCAUCGACCGAUCGCCGCUUGCGGAGGAUUUGAGUCAGAGCAUAUCUGUUAGGACCCGAAAGAUGGUGAACUAUGCCUGGACAGGGCGAAGCCAGGGGAAACUCUGGUGGAGGCUCGUAACGGUUCUGACGUGCAAAUCGAUCGUGUGAAGUAGGUAUAGGGGCGAAAGACCAAUCGAGCCAUUUAGUUGCUGGUUCUCUC